AUACGACCAUACCCAUCGGAGAACUCGGGAUCCCGUCCGCUCUCCCAUAGAUAAGCCAGUGAGGGCCGGAUUAGUAGUUGGGUCGGUGACGACCAGCGAAUACCUGGUGUUGUAUG
rnacentral:rRNA from 1 species